GGGUAACCUGCCCAUCAGAAGGGGAUAACACUUGGAAACAGGUGCUAAUACCGUAUAACAAUCGAAACCGCAUGGUUUUGAUUUGAAAGGCGCUUUCGGGUGUCGCUGAUGGAUGGACCCGCGGUGCAUUAGCUAGUUGGUGAGGUAACGGCUCACCAAGGCCACGAUGCAUAGCCGACCUGAGAGGGUGAUCGGCCACAUUGGGACUGAGACACGGCCCAAACUCCUACGGGAGGCAGCAGUAGGGAAUCUUCGGCAAUGGACGAAAGUCUGACCGAGCAACGCCGCGUGAGUGAAGAAGGUUUUCGGAUCGUAAAACUCUGUUGUUAGAGAAGAACAAGGAUGAGAGUAACUGUUCAUCCCUUGACGGUAUCUAACCAGAAAGCCACGGCUAACUACGUGCCAGCAGCCGCGGUAAUACGUAGGUGGCAAGCGUUGUCCGGAUUUAUUGGGCGUAAAGCGAGCGCAGGCGGUUUCUUAAGUCUGAUGUGAAAGCCCCCGGCUCAACCGGGGAGGGUCAUUGGAAACUGGGAGACUUGAGUGCAGAAGAGGAGAGUGGAAUUCCAUGUGUAGCGGUGAAAUGCGUAGAUAUAUGGAGGAACACCAGUGGCGAAAGGCGGCUCUCUGGUCUGUAACUGACGCUGAGGCUCGAAAGCGUGGGGAGCAAACAGGAUUAGAUACCCUGGUAGUCCACGCCGUAAACGAUGAGUGCUAA
rnacentral:rRNA from 1 species